rnacentral:rRNA from 1 species
CCUACGGGCGGCUGCAGUGUGGAAUAUUGGACAAUGGGGGGAACCCUGAUCCAGCCAUGCCGCGUGUGUGAAGAAGGCCCUCGGGUUGUAAAGCACUUUCAGUGAGGAAGAACGCCUGGUGGUUAAUACCCAUCAGGAAAGACAUCACUCACAGAAGAAGCACCGGCUAACUCCGUGCCAGCAGCCGCGGUAAUACGGAGGGUGCGAGCGUUAAUCGGAAUUACUGGGCGUAAAGCGCGCGUAGGUGGCUUGAUAAGCCGGUUGUGAAAGCCCCGGGCUCAACCUGGGAACGGCAUCCGGAACUGUCAAGCUAGAGUGCAGGAGAGGAAGGUAGAAUUCCCGGUGUAGCGGUGAAAUGCGUAGAGAUCGGGAGGAAUACCAGUGGCGAAGGCGGCCUUCUGGACUGACACUGACACUGAGGUGCGAAAGCGUGGGUAGCAAACAGGAUUAGAUACCCUAGUAGUC